rnacentral:rRNA from 1 species
UACAGAGGUCUCAAGCGUUGUUCGGAUUCAUUGGGCGUAAAGGGUGCGUAGGCGGCACGGUAAGUCGGGUGUGAAAUCUCGGAGCUUAACUCCGAAACUGCAUUCGAUACUGCCGUGCUUGAGGACUGGAGAGGAGACUGGAAUUUACGGUGUAGCGGUGAAAUGCGUAGAUAUCGUAAGGAAGACCAGUGGCGAAGGCGGGUCUCUGGACAGUUCCUGACGCUGAGGCACGAAGGUCAGGGGAGCAAACGGG